rnacentral:tmRNA from 1 species
GGGGAUGUCACGGUUUCGACGUGACACAUUAAUUUUUAAUUGCAGUGGGGUUAGCCCCUUAUCGCUCUACGCUUUUGCGUACUAAUUAGUUAUUAGUAGAAACGUUCAUUAACAUAAUUACUAUUGGUUGGUUUUUGGGCUUAUUUUACAAUAGUUUUAAAUUUAAAAUUCUUAUUUGUUGUUUAAAUUUAAAUAGAUUUAACAAAUAGUUAGUUAAUUUUAAAUUUGUUUUAUUAGUUAUUAACUACACUAUUUUUAAUAAAACUAAACUGUAGAUAUUAUUAAUUAUGUGUUGCGGAAAGGGGUUCGACUCCCCUCAUCUCCACCA